rnacentral:rRNA from 1 species
UACGAAGGGUGCAAGCGUUACUCGGAAUUACUGGGCGUAAAGCGUGCGCAGGCGGCUUUGCAAGACAGAUGUGAAAUCCCCGGGCUUAACCUGGGAACUGCAUUUGUGACUGCAUGGCUGGAGUGCGGCAGAGGGGGAUGGAAUUCCGCGUGUAGCAGUGAAAUGCGUAGAUAUGCGGAGGAACACCGAUGGCGAAGGCAAUCCCCUGGGCCUGCACUGACGCUCAUGCACGAAAGCGUGGGGAGCAAACAGG